rnacentral:rRNA from 1 species
UACGUAGGGUGCAAGCGUUGUCCGGAAUUAUUGGGCGUAAAGAGCUCGUAGGCGGUCUGUCGCGUCGGCUGUGAAAACCCGGAGCUCAACUCCGGGCCUGCAGUCGAUACGGGCAGACUGGAGUUCGGUAGGGGAGACUGGAAUUCCUGGUGUAGCGGUGAAAUGCGCAGAUAUCAGGAGGAACACCGGUGGCGAAGGCGGGUCUCUGGGCCGAUAUUGACGCUGAGGAGCGAAAGCGUGGGGAGCGAACAGG